UACGUAGGGGGUAAGCGUUGUCCGGAAUGACUGGGCGUAAAGGGAGUGUAGGCGGUUUAUUAAGUUGAAUGUGAAAGCCUGGAGCUUAACUCCAGAACUGCAUUCAAAACUGGUAGACUUGAGUGUGGGAGAGGUAAGUUGAAUUCCUAGUGUAGCGGUGGAAUGCGUAGAUAUUAGGAGGAACAUCAGUGGCGAAGGCGACUUACUGGAACAUAACUGACGCUGAGGCUCGAAAGCGUGGGGAGCAAACAGG
rnacentral:rRNA from 1 species